rnacentral:rRNA from 1 species
UACAGAGGGUGCGAGCGUUAAUCGGAGUUACUGGGCGUAAAGGGCGCGUAGGCGGUGUAGUGUGAGUGAUGUGAAAGCCCCGGGCUUAACCUGGGAAGUGCAUCGCUAACUACUAUACUUGAGUAGGUGAGAGGGUAGCGGAAUUUCCGGUGUAGCGGUGAAAUGCGUAGAGAUCGGAAGGAACGUCAAUGGCGAAGGCAGCUACCUGGCACCAUACUGACGCUGAAGCGCGAGAGCGUGGGGAGCGAACAGG